UACAGAGGUCCCAAGCGUUGUUCGGAUUCAUUGGGCGUAAAGGGUGCGUAGGCGGCGCGGUAAGUCGUGUGUGAAAUCUCGGAGCUUAACUCCGAAACUGCAUUCGAUACUGCCGUGCUUGAGGACUGGAGAGGAGACUGGAAUUUACGGUGUAGCGGUGAAAUGCGUAGAUAUCGUAAGGAAGACCAGUGGCGAAGGCGGGUCUCUGGACAGUUCCUGACGCUGAGGCACGAAGGCCAGGGGAGCGAACGGG
rnacentral:rRNA from 1 species